rnacentral:rRNA from 1 species
UUGAACGCUGGCGGCAUGCCUUACACAUGCAAGUCGAACGGUAACGCGGGGCAACCUGGCGACGAGUGGCGAACGGGUGAGUAAUGCAUCGGAACGUGUCCUGUAGUGGGGGAUAGCCCGGCGAAAGCCGGAUUAAUACCGCAUACGACCUACGGGUGAAAGCGGGGGACCGCAAGGCCUCGCGCUAUAGGAGCGGCCGAUGUCGGAUUAGCUAGUUGGUGGGGUAAGG